UCCCUGGUGGCUCAGACGGUAAAGCGUCUGUCUACAAUGCGGGAGACCCAGGUUCAAUCCCUGGGUCAGGAAGC
rnacentral:tRNA from 1 species